rnacentral:lncRNA from 1 species
AGGAUGCAGCAUUCAAGGUUCUAUCUUGGAAGCAGAGACUGGGCCCUCACCAGAUGCUGAACCUGCUGAGCACCUUGAUCUUCCACUUCACCUUCAUCAGAACUGUACUUCAAAGAGGACAUCCUUUCCUGAAGAACAGAAGAACCUGAAAUGUUUGGAGCCUAAGACUGUUUGCUGUGAUUGCACCUGCCAUCUUAUGCAGAAAUGACCUGAAAACAGACUGAAACAACGUGUUCUACAGCCUGAAAAUAUCUACCUUGACUUACAGUUUCAUUAAUGCUGGUGUGAUCAGACUGGACAAAAAUUAGCAUAUGUUAUUAACUAAUCUAAUUCAAGUACCAAUUCUUAAUAGAAACAUCAAACAAUAAAAGCAAUUCAGAAAAUA